UCUAAACCAAAGAUCCGGGAAAUGAUCGGUCACCGGAGUCAAUAGCCCAAAAGAGAUAACCCAACCAAAGUGGAGUACUCCACAAAGGAAGAGCUCUCAGAUGAACCUCGUCCGAUUUGUGGUAUGUCACGUUGCAACAAUAUGCUAAUAAAGCAAAUGAGGAACGUGAGACCACACUAAUCCUAGGUGUAUACUCGGGCCUGGGUU
rnacentral:lncRNA from 1 species